UGGAUUCAGACUCCAUGACAAAGCUUGACC
rnacentral:piRNA from 1 species